UACGGGGGGAGCAAGCGUUGUUCGGAUUUACUGGGCGUAAAGGGCGCGUAGGCGGCCACCGCAAGUCAAUUGUAAAAUCUCCGGGCUUAACUCGGAAAGGUCAACUGAUACUGCGGGGCUAGAGUGCGGAAGGGGCAACUGGAAUUCUCGGUGUAGCGGUGAAAUGCGUAGAUAUCGAGAGGAACACCUGCGGCGAAGGCGGGUUGCUGGGCCGACACUGACGCUGAUGCGCGAAAGCCAGGGGAGCGAACGGG
rnacentral:rRNA from 1 species